UGCAGAACGAAAGAUUGGGGGUCGGUGUGAAGAGCGGGAGAGAGGAUUACGGGAGCUGUUGUCGCCGAAAGAAAUUUUCCUCUGGAUCUUCCGUGCUAGAUCAGAUCUCUGAGUGGGCAAUGGAAGUUCCCAUAAAUGCCAAUGAACUGUUCGUAGCUACCAAUUGCCAUAUAUCUCUGCGUGGUCCCCUGAAUCACAGGAUAUAUGCACUCGACCUCUGAUCACCGUCCGAUUAUCAACGAGAGAGGAGGGAAGCUUUUUUUGCAGGACUUGGUCGCCGUCAAUUGCCGUUUUCCAUUGUGGUGUCAUAUUCAACCAACUUCUUUCAGCAACGGCAACCCAUCCUAUCUUCAGAGUCUUAAACAACGAUUUAACUAGCACAUUACUGAGAUUUAACAUUUGAUUACAUAUUUAACUGAGAAAAAUAUUGCUAAAUUAAUAUAAUCUUUAUGGUAAAGUUCACCCAGUUUCCUCUAGUUUUGGAUGAACAUUUAUAUUCAUUAAUUUAUAUAAAUUCCCUCUGUAUAGAGAAGAACCCCUUUUAAGAUCCCCAUAGAUUUUACUUUUCAGAUCCCUAUAGUUUUAGUUAUUUGAACUAUUAACUUCCCAAAGAUGUUUCUAUGGGAAAAAA